rnacentral:rRNA from 1 species
GAUGAACGCUGGCGGCGUGCCUAAUACAUGCAAGUCGAGCGAACAGACGAGGAGCUUGCUCCUCUGACGUUAGCGGCGGACGGGUGAGUAACACGUGGAUAACCUACCUAUAAGACUGGGAUAACUUCGGGAAACCGGAGCUAAUACCGGAUAAUAUAUUGAACCGCAUGGUUCAAUAGUGAAAGACGGUUUUGCUGUCACUUAUAGAUGGAUCCGCGCCGCAUUAGCUAGUUGGUAAGGUAACGGCUUACCAAGGCAACGAUGCGUGGCCGACCUGAGAGGGUGAUCGGCCACAGUGGAACUGAGACACGGUCCAGACUCCUACGGGAGGCAGCAGUAGGGAAUCUUCCGCAAUGGGCGAAAGCCUGACGGAGCAACGCCGCGUGAGUGAUGAAGGUCUUCGGAUCGUAAAACUCUGUUAUUAGGGAAGAACAAAUGUGUAAGUAACUAUGCACGUCUUGACGGUACCUAAUCAGAAAGCCACGGCUAACUACGUG